rnacentral:rRNA from 1 species
CCUACGGGUGGCAGCAGUGGGGAAUAUUAGACAAUGGGCGAAAGCCUGAUCCAGCCAUGCCGCGUGUGUGAAGAAGGCCUUCGGGUUGUAAAGCACUUUCAGUGGGGAAGAAAGCCUUGGGGCUAAUACCCUCGAGGAAGGACAUCACCCACAGAAGAAGCACCGGCUAACUCCGUGCCAGCAGCCGCGGUAAUACGGAGGGUGCGAGCGUUAAUCGGAAUUACUGGGCGUAAAGCGCGCGUAGGCGGUCUGAUAAGCCGGUUGUGAAAGCCCCGGGCUCAACCUGGGAACGGCAUCCGGAACUGUCAGGCUAGAGUGCAGGAGAGGAAGGUAGAAUUCCCGGUGUAGCGGUGAAAUGCGUAGAGAUCGGGAGGAAUACCAGUGGCGAAGGCGGCCUUCUGGACUGACACUGACGCUGAGGUGCGAAAGCGUGGGUAGCAAACAGGAUUAGAUACCCUGGUAGUC